GAUGAACGCUAGCUACAGGCUUAACACAUGCAAGUCGAGGGACCGGCGCGCGGGUGAGUAACACGUAUCAAACCUGCACUUUACGCGGGGAUAGCCUGACGAAAUAAAGAUUAAUACACGAUAUAAAGGAUGGGGAUGCGUUCCAUUAGGUUGUGGGUGAGGUACCGGCUCAGCAAGCCUUCGAUGGAUAGGGGUUCUGAGAGGAAGGCCCCCCAGAUUGGAACUGAGACACAGUCCAAACGCGUACGGGGCGCAGCAGUGAGGAAUAUUGGUCAAUGAGCGCUAGCGUGACCCAGCCAAGUAGCGUGAAGGAUGAAGGCUUAUGGGUCGUAAUCUUGUGUGAUAUAAGAAUAUGUAUUAUAUGAAGAAGGAUCGGCUAACUCCGUGCCAGCAGCCGCGGUAAUAC
rnacentral:rRNA from 1 species